rnacentral:misc_RNA from 1 species
UUAAUUUUCUUUAUCAAGACUCAGACGUUACCAAUUCAACUGGGUUAUAGGGUUGGGUUGGCGGGUAUCGUUAGACUGACCCGCCAAAACAGCAGAGGCGUUUCGGCCACCACGGGUUGAGAUUGGAGGCCGAAGCCCCCGGGAGCGCGAAGCCCCUCUCAGUAAUGAUCCUUCCGCAGGUUCACCUACGGAAA